GUCGCAGUCCGUCUGCUGCCUUCCCGCUGCCAUUUCUACUUCUCAGGAACAAUGGAAAGGUGAAAAGGAACGAGGACUACAAACAAGAUGGCUGCAGAGGGGCGUACAACCUGACUAGUAGCCGAUCUCAUGAGGGAAUCGGUAUCUUUCAAGUCGUGAGGGCUCCAGGGAGAAGGCUCUGAGGCCAUGCAAAACCCCCGCCCCGCCUUCGGAAGUCACCAACUCUCGGUUCUCACAUCUGAAAAAUGGGGAUAAUGCUACCCACCUCCAAGCAGAGUUAGGAGAAUAAAGACAAUGGUCACGAGAGUUCCCAGCUCAGGGCCCGCCAUGGGGCACGUGGUGGUGGUCCCUGUUUCAAGCUCCGUCUCAGCCCAGUGGUUCUGGGCUCCCGGGAGUCCAUCACGCUGGAAGUGCGCUCCUGGCGGGCAGGCUAUCUAUCCCCAGUUGAACCUCCUCUCCCCGCACCCCGCUCGGUCUGGUCCUCCAGCGUCCACUACCGAGCACUGCUCCUAGGGGGCGCCCAUUCUCCACUUGACCGAGGUGCUACUUCAAUCUGAGGUUGUCGGCGCUGCCUACUGCCCAGCCUCCUCUCCUCUCCUGCCAGCUUUGGAGGGAUCCUCCUAACCUCAGCUGCCAAAGCAAACGGAACUGCUUUCCACCUCCCUGCCUUCUUGCCUGCCUUUUCUACCUGGGAAAGGGUCCUGCGAAAGACUCGAUGGGUCUGGCGCUGGCCAGUAAGGUGUGAAACACUAAGUCUGCAGGGGCUGACCUGAGAGGCUCCUCCUAGCUCACGUUUAUCAGUCGGGAAAUCAUGCUGUCGAACGAUUGUCCCUGUGUCUUCAUUGUUUUAGCUUCGGCUUGCACGAUUACUUCAGAAAAGCUUGGGAACGGUUCCCUCUGCCUGUUAGGCCCUUCCCCUCCUCCCGUUCCACUUCUCCACCCAACUAAUUACUCACCCUCAGGUCUCUGUUUAAAGCCACUGUCCCAACGAAGCUUCCUGUAAUUCCCAUUUGAGAUUCUCUUACUGACUCUUCUGCUGGAUUAUAAGUUUCAUGAGUUAAGUGCUUCCAGCAUUUCAUUUGAUCCUCAUAAGAACGCUGUGAGGUAGAAUUCCAUUUUGUAGAUGAGAAAACUUGGGCUGAGAAUGGAUGAUUGUAGUCAGGAUUCAAACCCAAGACUCCAGAGUCCGUCUUCAUAACUACUGGAACAUCCGCAAACUGAUCAAAUCCAACCCAUGUGCAUGUUUGGUUUGGCACAACAACAACAAAUUCUCAUGCAAAAAUGGAUUUUUAAUUUUAAAUCCUGAAGUCUAGCAACUGGGUGGGUAGGGGGAAAUGGCAGAGUUAGAGU